CAGAAAGGUCUUAGCCUGACCAGCUUGUCCCUGGAAUGAAUCUCAGCAACCAUACAGAUGUCAUGGGAAAAACAGUACCCAUCACCUUUGUAGCUGAGCAUCUUACAACGCCCCAGUGAGAAAGCUGUUGGCACCUUGGACAGAGACCUAAAGCACAGAAAAAAUAUUAUCUGGAGACUCUUCUCAAGAAUAUGUUUGCACUGUGACCUUUAGCAGAUAUAGUAUCCAUAUUGUCCACAUAAAUAUUGAUAACCAGUCACUAUAAUGGUUUGAGGUCAAAGAA